rnacentral:piRNA from 1 species
UGAACAACUUUUACAACUUUG